rnacentral:rRNA from 1 species
AAUGUAUGGCGAAAGCUGGUUAUAUUAAUAUAUUAUUAAUAUAACAUCGACUAUGUCGAAUAAAAUUCUAGGUAUAAUUAUGAUGAUGACAUUUUAUACCUAUAUGUCUUGACCAAAUCACGUGCCAGCAGUCGCGGUAAUACGUGGAAGACUAGUGUUAUUCAUCUUAAAUAGGUUUAAAGGGUACCUAGACGGUAAAUUAAGCCCAUAUAGGGAACUGAUUUUAUACUAGAGUUUAAUAGGAGGAGGGGAGUACAGCUGAGUGUAGAGAUGAAAUUCUGUCAUACCUUCUGGAACAGGCACCGGCGAAAGCAACCUUUUAUGUAUAACCUGACGUUGAGGGACGAAGGCUCCGUACNCCACCAGGAUUAAAUACCNUAGCAGCCUGAGCNGAACAUNGAUGGAUGGCCUUCCUUAGGUUAAAUUUUNUUAUUUUUUAAGGAAAAANGGAAGNGUNAGCAUCCCCCUCCAGAAUUANGNGGCCACGCCGGAACUGGAAUCAUUAGACCGGUUCUGGAACCAGUAGUGAAGUAUGUUGUUUAAUAGAUGGUCCGCAAAAAACCUCACCACAAUUUGAAUAUUUCUGUACAUUAUAGUUAUACAAGCGUUGCACGGCUGUCUUCAGUUAAUGUCGUGAGAUUUUGGUUAGUUCCAUUAAAUUAACGUAAACCCUUACUUUAUUUUUUUUAAUAAAGUAGUUCGCCAUUAUAUUGGAUAUGAUAAUAGGGACUAAGACAAGUCAUCAUGGCCUGAAUAUUGUGGGCUAUAGACGUGCCACACAGUCCUCGACAAAAGGAUGCUAAAUUGCGAAAU